rnacentral:rRNA from 1 species
AUCAUAUACAUAUGAAAAUGAAUAUUUAUUAUAGGUAUAAGUCAAAAAUGUGAAAAUAUACCAAUAUUCUCUUGGUAUUGAGAAUAGCAAUUUUAGUGAAAUACAGUAGCUUAACCAAGCUGUACUACUACAGAGGGCUCAAAUCUACUAUAGGUAGGUAGUAGUUGUAGUAGAAAACUUUUCAAAUAUUCCGUUAUUUUCUUAGUAUUUAUUAUACAAAAAAUGCAUUUAUAAAAAGGGUACACUAGUGUAAGCUGGCUGUACAAUGACAUAGGGUUCAUAAACAACCAUAGGCAGGCAGUGGAUGCUGAUCUCUCAUAUUGUUCAAAACUUAAGUAUUCAUAUGAUUUAGGCAUUUAUAUGUGUAAAUUAAAUCAUAUACAUAUGAAAAUGAAAUUAAAAUUAAAUUAAAUCAUAUACAUAUUAAAAAAAAUAGUUAUUAUAUGUAUAAGUGAAAAAUGUGAAAAUAUAACAAUAUUCUCUUGGUAUUGAGAAUAGCAAUUUUAGUGAAAUGGUUACAGUAGCUUAAGCUAGCUGUACUACUACAGAGGGUUCAAAUCUACUAUAGGUAGGUAGUGGUUUUAGUAAAAAACUUUUCAAAUAUUCCAUUAUUUUCUUAGUAUUUAUUAUAGAAAAAUACAUUUAUAAAAAGUGUACAGUAGUGUAAGCUGGCUGUACAAUGACAGAGGGUUCAUAAACAACCAUAGGCAGGCAGUGGAUGCUGAUCUCUCAUAUUGUUCAAAACUUAAGUAUUCAUAUGAUUUUGGCAUUUAUAUGUGUAAAUUAAAUUAUAUACAUAUGAAAAUGAAUAUUUAUUAUAUGUAUAAGUGAAAAAUGUGAAAAUAUAUGUGAAAUGGUUACAGUAGCGUAAACUAGCUGUACUACGACAGAGGGUUCAAAUCUACUAUAGGUGGUAGUGGUUGAGUAGAAAACUUUUCAAAUAUUCAAGUAUUUUCUUAGUAUUUAUUAUACAGAAAAUGCAUUUAUAAAAAGGGUACACUAGUUAAGCUGGCUGUACAAUGACAGAGGGUUCAUAAACAACCAUAGGCAGGCAGUGGAUGCUGAUCUCUCAUAUUGUUCAAAACUUAAGUAUUCAUAUGAUUUUGGCAUUUAUAUGUGUAAAUUAAAUUAUAUACAUAUGAAAAUGAAAUUAAAAUUAAAUUAAAUCAUAUACAUAUUAAAAAAAAUAUUUAUUAUAUGUAUAAGUGAAAAAUGUGAAAAUAUAACAAUAUUCUCUUGGUAUUGAGAAUAGCAAUUUUAGUGAAAUGGUUACAGUAGCGUAAACUAGCUGUGCUACGACGGAGUUUUCAAAUCUACUAUAGGUGGGUAGUGGUUGUAGUAGAAAACUUUUCAAAUAUUCUUUGGCUGUACUUUGACAGAGGGUUCAUAAACUACCAUAGGCAGGCAGUGGAUGCUGAUCUCUCAUAUUGUUCAAAACUUAAGUAUUCAUAUGAUUUUGGCAUUUAUAUGUGUAAAUUAAAUUAUAUACAUAUGAAAAUGAAUAUUUAUUAUAGGUAUAAGUGAAAAAUGUGAAAAUAUAACAAUAUUCCCUUGGUAUUGAGAAUAGCAAUUUUAGUGAAAUACAGUAGCUUAACCAAGCUGUACUACUACAGAGGGUUCAAAUCUACUAUAGGUAGGUAGUAGUUGUAGUAGAAAACUUUUCAAAUAUUCCGUUAUUUUCUUAGUAUUUAUUAUACAGAAAAUGCAUUUAUAAAAAGGGUACACUAGUGUAAGCUGGCUGUACAAUGACAGAGGGUUCAUAAACAACCAUAGGCAGGCAGUGGAUGCUGAUCUCUCAUAUUGUUCAAAACUUAAGUAUUCAUAUGAUUUUGGCAUUUAUAUGUGUAAAUUAAAUCAUAUACAUAUGAAAAUGAAAUUAAAAUUAAAUUAAAUCAUACACAUAUUAAAAAAAAUAUUUAUUAUAUGUAUAAGUGAAAAAUGU